rnacentral:piRNA from 1 species
UUGGAACUCAAGUUAUCUAAGGCAAGAG